rnacentral:lncRNA from 1 species
AGUGUGUAAUGUACUACUCAAAAUAUAGGUUUUGUCAUUGUGAAUGACUAUACACCAUACAUCAUUAUAAAUGAUGUUGUUUUGACCUAUUUGGAGAUAAUCAUGAGUAGAGACUCUGACAGUUGGCUUGAAACCAUGACAUCAGAAAUGAACUCCUUGUACAUCAACCAAGUAUGGACUAUGGUUAAAGCACUUAUAGGUAUGACCCAACAGGUUGCUAACAGGAAUAUCAAUCUGAAUUUUUGCUUGCUAUUGCCACACACCA